UCAAUUUUUUAAUAUAUUAUCUUUGAUAAUUUUAAUUAUACAUAUAAUUGUGUUCUAAAAACGUGCAUGAAUGUGAGCAUCAAGUGACAUUUCUUAUUUAUAUUUCUUAUCUGACAGUUUUCUUCGCGUCAUUACGUUAUCGAAACGAAUAGAAAUAUAGAGAUGUGUUGAAAGUUAGAAAGAAAAGCCAUUUCUCCACAAGAAGAGAAUAUAUCUGCACGAGGGAACAUCUGCAUUUAUAUAAGGAUUUCGAUGCUGAGAAGCUACUUCUAUCGUUACAUAACUGCAUCGAACGAAGUGCAACACGUGUGCAUGAUAUAAAAGGAUUAAUUUCGGGAAUCAUUGGAGAUGACGCUCUCUCGCGGAGGUCUUCGGAAUCCAACUUUAGCGCGCUGUGGAAGAUGUAUAUUUGCUUUGUGAGCAUCGGAACACCUACGUACGCAAUUGUAUUCGCGAAAUGCCGCUUGCACGAAUUAUAUAUGUACCUGUAAUUAAUAAUUAAGGCUAAUUAAGGCUUCGCCCGAUGACACAGUAUGUCGCGUGCGCCCUUCGUGUACGAAUCGAUAUCUCUAGCGUCAUCAUUUAUGGCAGAAACGCUUCGCAUUAUUAUUAAACAACAUUGCGUUCCAUCUAAUGGAACAUGGUCGUAUUGUGACUCA